AUAUGACUUUGAUGAAAGUGAACCAAUGGAUUUCAAAUAACAAGCAUUUAAGCUCAACAUGACCUGAUUUAUCCAAAACAAUAAGAAUUUGCGAACAUAUAAGAGAUGUAGGCAUCUGCCAACAAAAUUCUAACAAAAGAGUUAACAUAUUACUUACAUGUGAGUUGAACGUAUUAUUUGCAUGUGUUUUAUUCUUCCCCGCAAAUAAACUUCUUUUCAUGUACUAACAACUUAUUUUGCAAUCUUAACAAAGACAUCUCUUUGAUUCCAGUUUGGUAAUAGCAUCUUUCUGUAUUGCAUGCUUCUGGUGUGUGACACUCUUAUCUAAUUAAAAGUAUGAAUUGUGUUACUUGUUGCCAGGUGUGGAUUUUAAAAUCAAGUUCCUUACAGUUGGUGGAAAGAAACUAAAGUUGACAAUAUGGGAUACUGCUGGCCAGGAGAGGUUUAGGACAAUAACUAGUUCUUACUACAGAGGUGCUCAGGGAAUUAUUUUAGGUAAGACAGUAUUUUUACUACAGUUGACUGCUUAUAUAUUUUGAUAUAUUGUAAUAUCACAUUAAUGUCAUUUUUGUCACCUUGAUGUCGGAUUAUUGAAAUAUGCCAUUGAAUGGUAUAAGUUGAUCUA